rfam:Myotis lucifugus cont2.17051, whole genome shotgun sequence.
AAGACACCCUUAUAAGGGGCAGGACUUGCUUCAGUGGGGCUUUAGUGCUCACUGAGUCUGCCCCUUGAGUGUGUCAUU